rnacentral:misc_RNA from 1 species
UAGUUUAAGCACUAUCUUUGCAUUCAUAUAAUAGUUUAAGCACCAUCUUUUACAUUCUAUAUCAAUAUAUUCAAAGUAAGCAGUGACAAACUAAUCUAUAAUAUUCAACCAACCAUUAAUUCUGAGCAACAUAAAUCAUGACCAUUUACUUUUAUCUAUAUUAAGAACCUCCUUAAAGUCCUUAGAAUUAGAUAAUACCCCACAACUCCUAGAAAGAGAAUACAUAUAUCAAUCAGCAAGUCAGCAAAUCUUACCUGUGCAUGCAUUGUUUUCACUAUACAGUAUACUCUGCUUUUAUGCAUGGGUCCACCAUUGUGUGCAAUACAUUCAUGGUAAGAGUUGUUCAGUCAUAUCACUAGCAAUUGACCGUAGCAUUUCUCAAAUACAAAUGCAAAUGAGAAAUUAGUGUCUGAUGGUAUGCCAGGUCCAUAUUGUAGCUUAGCAUGCUCCAUUAUGCGCAGAAUCAUAGACAGCGUGAAAUGUUGGCCAUGAUAAUGACCUGUGUGAGAAACUGACCUAUCAAUACUAAAUCAGUCAAGCCAAUACU